AAGGAUCAUUACCGAGUUCAUGCCCUUACGGGUAGAUCUCCCACCCUUUGUAUACUAUACCUUUGUUGCUUUGGCGGGCCGCCUAGCUACUGGCUUCGGCUGGUAUGUGCCCGCCAGAGGACCCAAAACCCUGAAUUAUUAGUGUCGUCUGAGUAAAAUAUUUAAUAAUCAAAACUUUCAACAACGGAUCUCUUGGCUCUG
rnacentral:misc_RNA from 1 species